rnacentral:rRNA from 1 species
GACGAACGCUGGCGGCGUGCUUAACACAUGCAAGUCGAACGGAAAGGCCCUGCUUUUGUGGGGUGCUCGAGUGGCGAACGGGUGAGUAACACGUGAGUAACCUGCCCUUGACUUUGGGAUAACUUCAGGAAACUGGGGCUAAUACCGGAUAGGAGCUCCUGCUGCAUGGUGGGGGUUGGAAAGUUUCGGCGGUUGGGGAUGGACUCGCGGCUUAUCAGCUUGUUGGUGGGGUAGUGGCUUACCAAGGCUUUGACGGGUAGCCGGCCUGAGAGGGUGACCGGCCACUUUGGGCCUGAGAUCCGCCCCGGACUCCUACGGGGGGCAGCGGUGGGGAUUAUUGCACAAUGGGCGGAGCCCUGAGGCAGCAACGCCGCGUGGGGGAUGACGGCCUUCGGGUUGUAACCGCUUUCGCCUGUGACGAAGCGUGAGUGACGGUAAUGGGUAAAGAAGCACCGGCUAACUACGUG